rnacentral:rRNA from 1 species
AGAGUUUGAUCCUGGCUCAGGAUGAACGCUAGCGGCAGGCUUAACACAUGCAAGUUGAGGGGCAGCGAGGGUAGCAAUACCUGUCGGCGACCGGCGCAAGGGUGCGUAACGCGUGAGCAACAUGCCCGUAUCAGGGGGAUAAUCCAGGGAAACUUGGUCUAAUACCGCAUAAUAAUCAUUUGGGGCAUCUUGGAUGAUUUAAAAUUUCGAUGGAUACGGAUUGGCUCGCGUGACAUUAGCUGGAUGGAGAGGUAACGGCUCACCAUGGCUACGAUGUCUAGGGGUUCUGAGAGGAAGGUCCCCCACACUGGAACUGAGACACGGUCCAGACUCCUACGGGAGGCAGCAGUGAGGAAUAUUGGACAAUGGAUGGAAAUCUGAUCCAGCCAUGCCGCGUGCAGGAAGACGGCCCUAUGGGUUGUAAACUGCUUUUGUAUGGGAGCAAUAAGGGCUACGUGUAGCCUGAUGAGAGUACCAUACGAAUAAGGACCGGCUAACUCCGUGCCAGCAGCCGCGGUAAUACGGAGGGUCCGAGCGUUAUCCGGAUUUAUUGGGUUUAAAGGGUGCGUAGGCGGUUUUAUAAGUCAGCGGUGAAAUUUUCCGGCUCAACCGGGAUACUGCCGUUGAUACUGUAAGGCUAGGAUAUGGUUGCUGUGGGUGGAAUGUGUGGUGUAGCGGUGAAAUGCUUAGAGAUCACACAGAAUAUCGAUUGCGAAGGCAGCUCACAAAGCCAUUAUUGACGCUGAGGCACGAAAGUGUGGGGAUCAAACAGGAUUAGAUACCCUGGUAGUCG